GCCGGGUGUGGUGGGGCACACCUGUAGUCCCAGCUACUCGGGAGGCUGAGGCAGGAGAAUCGCUUGAACCCAGGAGGCGGAGGUUGCAGUGAGCCAAGUUCGUGCCACUGCACUCCAGCCUGGGUGACAGAGCGAGACUCCAUCUCAA
ensembl:misc_RNA Metazoa_SRP Metazoan signal recognition particle RNA